CCUACGGGAGGCAGCAGUGGGGAAUAUUGCACAAUGGGGGCAACCCUGACGCAGCGACGCCGCGUGAGUGAAGAAGUAUUUCGGUAUGUAAAGCUCUUUUAGUAGGGAAGAAAAUGACGGCACCUGUUUAAGAAUCCCCGGCUACCGACGGGACGCCAGCCGGGGUUAUAUGAAGGGGGCCAGAGUUAUCCGGAUUUACUGGGCGUAAAGGGAGCGUAGUCGGCGCGGCAAGUCUGAAGUGAAAGGAACGGGCUUAACCCCUGAACUGCCUUGGAAACUGCCGUGCUAGAGUGAUGGAGAGGUAAGUGGAAUGCGGGGUGUAGCGGUGAAAUGCGUAGAUAUGAGGAGGAACACCAGUGGCGAAGGCGGCAUACUGGACAUUAACUGACGUUGAGGCUCGAAAGCGUGGGGAGCAAACAGGAUUAGAUACCCCAGUAGUC
rnacentral:rRNA from 1 species